UCCGUUGUGGUGUAGGGGUCAACAUACCGCGUUUUCAAGAGGUUCCGCGGCGCCCCGGGUUCGAUUCCCGGCAAUGGAG
rnacentral:tRNA from 1 species